UACGGGGGGAGCAAGCGUUGUUCGGAUUUACUGGGCGUAAAGGGCGCGUAGGCGGUCAGCACAAGUCAGACGUGAAAUCCCCCGGCUUAACCUGGGAACUGCGUCUGAUACUGGAGGGCUUGAGUAUGGGAGAGGGAUGUAGAAUUCCAGGUGUAGCGGUGAAAUGCGUAGAUAUCUGGAGGAAUACCGGUGGCGAAGGCGGCAUCCUGGACCAUAACUGACGCUGAGGCGCGAAAGCUAGGGGAGCAAACGGG
rnacentral:rRNA from 1 species